UUUCAAAAUUCCUGGGGUUGACUGUUGUUGACAGAUCUCACAUUUUUCGUAUCGAUAAAAGCAGCGCCAUAUAGAAAGAUUCUAUUAUACGGCUCUGGAUAAAGACCUUUGUCCUGACCUGCAUUGUAUUAAUUGGAAAACGAUAAAGCACAAUGUCUUCAAAGAUUCCAAGAAGUGUGCAGCUCCAUACAGGAACAAAGACAACUGGUGACAACGUGACAAGGAAAAAUGUUGCUCCCAAAGUCCCCAAAGGGUCAUCCACCAGGUAUGGGCAACAGGCAGGGCUCAAGGAUCAGAACCAGCAUCUGAUGGCUACCAACAAGGAGCUGCAGAAAAACCUUUCAGAG